AUAUAUCAUCCAAGCUUUCAUUUAUGAUUGUUCAUGCUUUGAAAUUGUGAUGUCAGAAUUUGAUAAAUUGUGCAGUGCUAGGUGUAGCAAAUCAUUGCUUAUGAAAACUACUGUGUUAUCUAAUAGCACCAAACUAAUAGAGCUAUCACAUAACUGAGAAACUUGUGUGGCUUAUUACAAAUGGAUGAAACCACAUUUUACCUUAAUGAAGACAGUAAUCUUUAAUAAGGUGUAGAAAAAAAGAGAAGAAUUUUUGUUUAUAUUCCAGCUGUGGUAAACAAAGAAGUGUACUGAAUCUUUUGGACUACACACAGUGAUGUAGUAUUGACUCUGAUGCUGAUCUGAGUUGUCUCAUUCUGUAUUUUUGUGCUUUGUCUUUUGUUACACAGAGUGAAAGAGAUCUUUGGUUUUGCCUUUGCUGACUGCUGAUCUGAUCGUCUCAAGUCUGGUGACCUGCUGCAGAAAACCCUCUCCCUCUAUCAUUAUCAAGCAAUUCUGUCUAUCCUAUCACUCUCCCAACUCUAUCUAAUUUGACAGCCAUUCUAUCUUGUAUCACUCUAUCCCAACUGCUCUAUCUAAUUUGACAGCCAUUCUAUCUUGUAUCACUCUAUCCCAACUGCUCUAUCUAAUUUGACAGCCAUUCUAUCUUGUAUCACUCUAUCCCAACUGCUCUAUCUAAUUUGACAGCCAUUCUCUCUUGUAUCAGUCUAUCCCAAGCACUCUAUCUCGUUUUCAGAAAUCCAAGUUUUGAGAAAUCCAAGUUUUGAGAAAUCCAAGUUUUGAGAAAUCCAAGUUUUGAGAAAUCCAAGUUUUGAGAAAUCCAAGUUUUGAGAAAUCCAAGUUGUACCUGAUCCCUGUUUUUGGCAAUUGAAGUUACCAGAACUUUGUCAAUCUGUAUUCAGAAUUCUGAGAGAUCUCCGCUCUCACUGCUCCUUCUUUCCUGUCAUUAAACUCUCUCCAUUCAUUUUGCUGGAAAAUAACAAAUAGAAAGUUGAAUAUACAGUAGUAGAAUUGCAGUACAGUAGAACUUAUAGUAGAAACUACUUAUACAGCCCUACAUUUGUAGUUUUAACUUGGCAUUACACUUUGGAAUAAACACUGAUAGUUUGGCUUACUGGUGCAAUUACUUUGAUACAUUGUAUAAAAUAUACACCUUUUAUAAGGUUUAUUUGUAAUAAGAUAAUCUGACUAUUCUGUAAUAUAUUCAGUGCUAUAUUCACAUAAAUAUUAAAUUUGAUUCAAAUA